rnacentral:rRNA from 1 species
CCUACGGGUGGCAGCAGUAGGGAAUAUUGCACAAUGGGGGAAACCCUGAUGCAGCAACGCCGCGUGGGUGAAGAAGGAUUUCGUUUCGCAAACCUCUUUCGUCAGGGAAGAAAAUGACGGUAUCUAAGUAAGAAGCACCGGCUAACUACGUGCCAGCAGCCGCGGUAAUACGGAGGGGGCAAGCGUUACUCGGAUUUACUGGGCGUAAAGGGAGCGUAGACGGGGUGGCAAGUCAGAUGUGAAAUCCCGCAGCUUAACCAUGGAACUGCAUUGGAAACUGGUGUACUAGAGUGUGGGAGGGGUAGGUGGAAUUCCUGGUGUAGGGGUGAAAUCCGUAGAGAUUAAGAGGAAUACUGGUGGCGAAGGCGACUUGCUGGACCGUAACUGACGUUGAGGCGCGAAAGCGUGGGGAGCAAACAGGAUUAGAUACCCCGGUAGUC